AUUGAACGCUGGCGGCAGGCUUAACACAUGCAAGUCGAGCGAGCGGCGGACGGGUGAGUAAUGUCUGGGAAACUGCCUGAUGGAGGGGGAUAACUACUGGAAACGGUAGCUAAUACCGCAUACCCUCAGAUGUACCCAGAUGGGAUUAGCUAGUAGGUGGGGUAAUGGCUCACAUAGGCGACUAUCCCUAGCUGGUCUGAGAGGAUGACCAGACAAACUGGAACGGAGCCACGGUCCAGAGUCCUACGUGAGGCAGCAGUGGGGAAUAUUGCACAAUGGGCGCAAGCCUGAUGCAGCCAUGCCGCGUGUGUGAAGAAGGCCUUCGGGUUGUAAAGCACUUUCAGCGAGGAGGCGUUACUCGCAGAAGAAGCACCGGCUAACUCCGUGCCAGCAGCCGCGGUAAUUC
rnacentral:rRNA from 1 species